rnacentral:misc_RNA from 1 species
CCUUCGCGACGUCGACGCCCGCAUGACGCCCGACGGGCCGUGAGGCCGCGGGCUCAAGACGGGCACGGCGGUCGUUCGCGUUGAGGGACAGAUGCGUUGCACGGGCAAACGGAGCCGACAGGCCCCACGCCCGCGCGUAACGUUCGGCGUCCGAGAGAACGGGCGGAGCGCACCGUGGGCCGAGGCAGCCGAGAGGCUUGCCGGGGACACAGGGCGUGCCUGAUGUCCACCCCGCAGCCCGCGAGGGCCGGGGGCGGAGAGGGACGAACGGGACCGUUGGAUUCCUUUCGACAGGUAAGCAACACAGGAAUACCGAAAA